rnacentral:rRNA from 1 species
AGAGGGUGCGAGCGUUAAUCGGAAUUACUGGGCGUAAAGCGAGUGUAGGUGGCUCAUUAAGUCACAUGUGAAAUCCCCGGGCUUAACCUGGGAACUGCAUGUGAUACUGGUGGGCUAGAAUAUGUGAGAGGGAAGUAGAAUUCCAGGUGUAGCGGUGAAAUGCGUAGAGAUCUGGAGGAAUACCGAUGGCGAAGGCAGCUUCCUGGCAUAAUAUUGACACUGAGAUUCGAAAGCGUGGGUAGCAAACAGGAUUAGAUACCCUGGUAGUCCACGCCGUAAACGAUGUCUACUAGCCGUUGGGGUCCUUGAGACUUUAGUGGCGCAGUUAACGCGAUAAGUAGACCGCCUGGGGAGU